GGGGAUGUAGCUUAGUUGGUAGAGUGCUUUCUUUGCAUUCACAAAACCCUGGGUUCAAUCCUCAGCACCACCA
rnacentral:tRNA from 1 species